rnacentral:rRNA from 1 species
ACGCCGAGUCGGUACNAGAUCUCCGGGAUUCUAGCGGACGCGGCGUACGGGUUGCGGAACACGUGUGCAACCUUGCCUUAUCUGGGGGAUAGCCUUUUCGAAAGGAAGAUUANAAUACCCCAUAAAUCAUGUCUGCAAUGGCAUCAUUACCGAGGAUUCGAAAACUUCCCGGUGGGCUACGAGAUGGGCACCGCGGCCAAGGAAUUCACGAUACAGUCUCGGUCGAGGGUCAACGGGUCACCAAGUCCUAACNGAUCUAACAGGGGGACCUCGAAGACAAGGGGGGUUGGGGUAACCCCACAGCAANAAACUUGGGUUAAACCUUCGAGGCAACCCACUAGGGACACCAGUGGGUUACCCCUUAACAGGGGAAACGNGGCCACNCAAGUGGACCGGGGACAAUAAAUAUUGGGACAACCCACAUUAGGGCGCUUCGGAAGCAGCCCCUUCGGANUGACAACCAAAGGACACUGAANUUGACCACCACCGGCCACUGGUUCUCGGGCAAAACACUGGGGAAACACAGAACCAUUUCGGGGCCAGCCCACCCGUUAAAAAUUUCGGGGGGGAUUACGAGGGUCACAAAACACGACACUUACC